UGGGGAAUAUUGGACAAUGGGCGAAAGCCUGAUCCAGCCAUGCCGCGUGUGUGAAGAAGGUCUUCGGAUUGUAAAGCACUUUAAGUUGGGAGGAAGGGCAGUAAGCGAAUACCUUGCUGUUUUGACGUUACCGACAGAAUAAGCACCGGCUAACUCUGUGCCAGCAGCCGCGGUAAUACAGAGGGUGCAAGCGUUAAUCGGAAUUACUGGGCGUAAAGCGCGCGUAGGUGGUUCGUUAAGUUGAAUGUGAAAGCCCCGGGCUCAACCUGUGAACUGCAUCCAAAACUGGCGGGCUAGAGUAGGGCAGAGGGUGGUGGAAUUUCCUGUGUAGCGGUAAAAUGCGUAGAUAUAGGAAGGAACACCAGUGGCGAAGGCGACCACCUGGGCUCAUACUGACACUGAGGUGCGAAAGCGUGGGGAGCAAACAGG
rnacentral:rRNA from 1 species